UGUGAUUACAGCAGCUCUUUCGGU
rnacentral:miRNA from 1 species